AUGUUCCUGCUAUUUGGAUUCAACGUGACAGUUGCUAGUAAAAACCAGUACUAUUGCUCUUUUGAUAUACUUAGUGAAGUAUAAAUUAAUGCCUUGUAAACAAUAAAUAAUGCUACUAUUAAUUAAUUUAAUUUGGUGUUACAAAGUCUGUGAUUCUUAAUAUGCAGCAGAUUGAACUCAACUGUACACAUUUUACUGACAUAAUUAGCAAAACAUGUAUCUAAUCUGUGAAAAGGAUUUCAGUUACAGCGAGAGAAUAAAAAUCAAUUAACAUAGCUGUGACUAGUCUAACAUUUUGGAUAACACUUGGAACAUUGAGAUUUGUGAAUCCUUUUGAUUAGAUAAAUAAGUGUCGCCUUAAGACAGAAUUUGCAGCGAUCAAUUUAAAAGCAAAAAAUAAAAAAUUUUGAAAAGGGAUUAAGCUGAUAUUUGCAGCUAUAAUUUAAGUUUAUAACUUAUUCGUCAAGAGCUCCUGCGUUUAAAAGAUGUAUCUGAGGGAAAGAAAUAAUAAAAAAAGAAUUAGUAAAACAUUAACAUAAAACUGAAUUGAAUGGAUGAAUAGUACAAAAAUGAGGAUGUGAAAUAUGGAAAAAUAGACAGCAUAGUAACUUAACGCCCAAGUAUAGAUUAACGGUAUUAUUAACUCACUUCCAUUUUCGACGCCCACGAUUCCAACGUCUCGCGAAUAUACUUUAAGCGAGAUCUCAAGUCUUCUGAAAAUGCGGAUGCUUCUUGCAAAGGCAAUUCCACUCUCUCUCGCUCUUUAUCUAAUACAAUGAUCUUCCGUGCGGUAGAGGAAAUAACAACUUUUCGAUGAUCCAGGAAAUUGAACUGAAAAAUUCCGUUACUUAAUCUAAACAUUAUAGCUUGACGCGUACGAAGAUAAUGCUGCAUGAAAAGCAUGGUAUUGGAAGUUGAGUUUUUGGGUUUUUCAAAACUCUCAUCCUGCACAGCCUUCGAAAGAUUUUGUCCCAUAUAGCUUUUAAAGUGCUUUAAAAGCUGAAGUUUACUUCUUAUAGAUUCAGGAACUUUGGAAGCAGGAUAAAUAUAUGGCUUAAUUUCUGUAUCUUUAGGAUGUAAAGCAUACUCGACAACCUCCUCAUCAGCUGAAAAAAGCAAGGAUGUAUCAUCAUUAAAGUGUACGCCAACCGAUUCAUCGGAUAGCUGGUAUCCUAAACCAUAUUUGUUGGAAUAAUCAACCCACUUUGUAAUAAAAAGAACGGGCUCAGAGUCAGCAUCCUCUGAAGUUAAAGCGUGUGUAUGUGCUUCCAAUGCCAUCCCGAUUUUAAGAGCUGUCUUCUUUACGCUGAUCCAAAUGUCUGAUUUCAUAUUUCCAACCUUAGAAAGUCUUGAAACUGUAUUUGCAGAUAAAGACCGAAUUAAUUGAAUAGGUUCAACUUGUUCAGUGACAGCGCUCUUAGUUGGAACAAAUGAUUGUGAUUCUUCUCUCAAAACUUUAACUCUUGAGCCUAAACUUCCAUCAGUGGAUUUACGAGCUGCAUGGAGGGCUGUAGAGAGCUUUGAUGGUACAGGUUUGGUUUCCGGUCCUAUUUUCAUAACAGGGUUGACACGGUCCCUUGGACUUAAAACACUUGGUAAUAUUCGAUCAUUAUCAACUUCAUCUGUUCGAAGUGCAUAAGGUUUAUUCUUUUCUACACCUGCUGAAUUUCCAAAGCCUACUCCGGAAGCAGAGGCAACGAAGUCCAGGUUUCUCUGAAAGCUUGAUUUUGAUUGGGAAGAAGGCCAUAUAGGCAUUGAAUGUAAAAUUUCAUCUGGAAGUGUAGAAGCCAUAUAGCCAGUGUGAAAGAAUUCAUGGUCAACAAUAUCGUCAAUACUGGGACGAAUGCUUGGAUCAUGUGUCAGAAGAGAAGAAAUUAAAUCUUUUGCUUCUGCAGAUAUGUCGACAUUUGAAGGAAAACUAUAUGAGUUGGCUUUUAUCUUCCUAUAAAUUGUCUUUACCUCUUUAUCCUGGAAGGGUGGCUUUCCAAUCAAGAGGGCAUACAUGACUACUCCAGCACUCCAAAGAUCAACUUCAAAUGAAUGUCCUUCUUUUGAAUUGAACAAAAUUUCAGGUGCGAUGUAGUUCGGUGUACCACAGAUAGUCAUUUUACGUUCUUCGUCAUCCAUUAAAAGCGCGGCAAGCCCAAAAUCACCAAUUUUUACAUUGUUACUCUCAUCAAGCAUAAUAUUUCCAAGCUUUAAAUCUCUAUGAAUGACUCUCUUUUUAUGCAUAUAUUUCAAAGCUCCCAAAAUUUGCAUCAUUAAAUACCGAACCUCUGGCUCAGUUAAUUGUUUUCGCUUACGUAAAAGUUCCAUUAAAGAUUUAUGUUCACAAAGCUCCAAAAUUAAGUAAAUAUUCGUCGAAUCUUCAAAACAAUCUAUAAAUCCUACGAUGUUUGGAUGACUCAUGGAUUGGUGCACCUUUAUUUCUCCAAAGAGCUUCAGCUUUGUUUUAUCAUUUUGUAGUGACCUUUUAGCAAUAACUUUAGCAGCGUAAAUAUUUCCAUAAUUAUCUUUGACUCGAAAACAUCUCGCAAAGCCGCCUUCACCAAUGCAAUCGUAGCGAGUGUAGAAUAUAUUUUUUUUAUUAUUAUGAA